rnacentral:rRNA from 1 species
UGACAAUGAAAGAAAAUAUGUUCCAGCCAUGCCGCUUGCAGGAUGAAAGCUCUAUGGGUAGUAAAAUGCUUUUAUUUCAGGAAGUUACAUUUUAACGUGUACGAGUAUGACGGUACUGUAAGAAUAAGGGGGGGGUAACUCCGUGCCAGCAAACGCGGUAAUACGUAGGGUCCGAGCGUUAUCCGGAAUCAUUGGGUUUAAAGGGUCCAUAGGCGGUCUUUUAAGUCAGAGGUGAAAUCCUACAGCUCAACUGUAGAACGGCUUUUGAUACUGAAAGACUUGAGUUAUUAUGAAGUGGUUAGAAUGUGUGGUGUAGCGGUGAAAUGCAUAGAUAUCACACAGAAUACCGAUUGCGAAGGCAGAUCACUAAUAAUAUACUGACGCUCAUGGACGAAAGCGUGGGGAGCGAACAGGAUAAGAUACCUUGGUAGUCCACGCCGUAAACGAUGGAUACUAGCUGUUCGUCUAACAUUGUUAGAUGAGUGGUAAGCGAAAGGAUAAUAUCC